CGGCAGGGCGGGCCCGAGCGCGCAGGGGUGCUUGGGGCGGGGAUUGUCGGUCUCCGGUCGGAAGGCGGAGGAGAGGGGCGGGGAGAGAAGGAGUAGGAGGAGCGUUGAUGGCUGCUCCGCUGCUCGCGGCAGAUGCCAUGCCUUGCUGUGCGCCCGCCCUCGGGUGGGUUCCUGCCUCGUAAAGGUGACGUUUGGGCCGAGACACGAAGCAGCCGCGUGAAAGACCAGGACUGAAUUUUUGACUACUGAUUUCCACCAGGCCCACGCCCAGCUGAGUGGGCUUUGAGAAGCCAACAUGCUUCCCAAGGAAACUGUCUCUCUCUGUGUCUCUGCCUUUGAAAAAAUCUGAACACAAAGACCCAAGCGACACAUGCAAGUUGGGACUGGGGCUCAGGUGAUGAUUAUGAAGACAAGGUGUGGGAGCGAGGAACUUUGCCUUUUUUGUGGAUCCCUGCCUGACUGACAGAAAACAUAUGAAGGCCAAGAGAAAGGUUGGAUUUGCCCCUAAGCCAACACCAUUGUUCAGUGACAAAGAGAAGCUGCCUGAGCUUUCCUGUUCCACAGAGGGGCAACGAAGGGGUCUGACCCAUCCUCUCGCCUCCCUCCGUCCCGUCAGAAAUACAGCCUGAAAACUCACCUUCAAAACAAGUUGUCUGACUCAGGAUAUUGCGCCUGAGGAGUUGCUGCUACUGACUGCAGGGACGGAGGGAGUUCCUGGGGGCAGUGAAGCCUGCCUUUGACCUGCUGUCCAGGCAACACCCACGCCAGGAGAAUUCAGCAUGAAACUUCUCAAUUCUGGGCCUACAGUUAAACCUAACGGACCUUGAAGUUCAACGGAAAAGACUGAGGUACACUUAAACGGUAUAUAUGCUCCCUAAAACACCUACUGGCAGUUUAAAAUUCUGAAACCAAGUAGGCCUGGGACUUCAGACCCAUAGAAUUUUGAUCCUGUGCCUGUUUUUCAGACUGCAAGCUACUAUGAAAUUACUGACAAAAUGGCCUGAAGUUUAAUAUCUCUGGAUAUUAAACUUAUUUUAGAUAUAAUAUACUCUAGUUCCUUGGAAUGGGGGUAUGAAUUUAUUUUAAAUUGUGAGUCAUAUGUACUUGAGGCACCUGAAAAUAUUUCAAUGCAGUCUUCAGAUUACUGUCACUAUUAAAUGACCAUAAUAAAUAACGAGACUUUUAAAAUGAAUUUUUUUAGGUAAUAGUACUUCAGAUUAGAAGAAUAUCACGCAGUGCUUUAAAAUUCAGAGAAAAUCUAUAAAGAAAUAUAUUCUUGGCAUUAGGAAAGAUGCCAAUUAAUACUCCAAUAUUUGGCUAGGGCUACCACCACAAACAUCAAUAUAUUUCAUUCACAAAUGCUGUUGGUUUAACGUUAUAAAGCCAGAUCAGAUCUCAAAAGUCAGCAAUACAGAACAAAACUGUGAAUCUUGGUUUUUAACACAGUUUGGGUAAAAUAACAAAGAGAAAUAAUAAUUUGUAUUCCUCAUGGUAAAGAGUUCUGUAUGCUGUUUAUAUAAGAAUCUAAAAUAUAGCCAAUAUUUAACAUUUCCUACCUCUAAAAUUCCUCUCCUCUUCUUUUCUUCACUGUCUGUGAAUCCACUGAUUAUUAGAUAACAGUCUUUACAGACUUUGCUCAGUUUACCACCAUCAUACUCGAGCUGAGCUUUGUAGUCGGAACACUUCCAACAAACCACCUUAAAUUGAAAAGAAGGGUAAAGAAGAGUGACUAUGAUAACAACACUUCCUCAGGUGCAGCUGCUGACUUCUUAUGCACUCAGUGUAGACGGCAGCUGUGUAUCAGACUAAGUGCAUCCCCAGAACCAGGGCGUCGCGUGGAGCUGCUGCAGUGCGGCUGCGCUGGGCUCUGUCUGCUCCCGCGUCCUCCGCACCCCGGCCGGCCUCCGGAGGAGCAGCAGCGUCUGAGGCUGCAGCAGGCGUCGGCUCUUCAGAAUUCCGCAUGCCUCAUCGCUGACCUCCCCAAGAGAGCGCACACUUCCCGGCCCCCAGGGCUCUCCUUAUCCACCUCACCCUGCUUACAGCAGGGACCUUCCCAGCCCCUCUGGCCACCUCACCGCUUCAUCGCAUUCCAAGUCCCCAGUGUCUGUCACCUAACCUCGGGCCCGGGUUGGACCGCUUCUUCAGCUGUGUGUCAGGUCCUUGCUGCCUGCCAGGCUUCUCUCUCGCCUCCCUCCAAGCAGCAACCGUAUGUUCUUUGAAAAACGCUACUCUGCUACGUUCCUCUUCUAUUUAGAAUCCUUCGGGUUUCCCUUUAUUCUUGGGGUUGCGGAGACAGCAAGCUAAGUCCAGUGUGACUCCUCCUCUGCCCACUUGCCCCCGCUGCUGUCUUCUCUGACAGUUGAUCUUGCACCCACUCCAGCAGGGCCCUGCCCCUUCUUCUCUCACCUCUACUUUGAAAUUGAGCUUGCUCCUCCCGCAUAUGUUGACUGAAAUCUCAUUUCCUCCAGGAAGACUCGUCCAAGUGCAUGCUAAAAUUCACUGUAUUAGUUCAUAAAAAGUUAUUUAUUCAGGGGCCGGUGCUGUGGCGUAGUGGGUAAAGCUGCCACCUGCAGAGCCAGCAUCCCAAAUGGGUGCUGGCUCAAGUCCGGGCUGCUCCACUCCCGAUCCAGCUCUCUGCUACGGCCUGAGAAAGCAGGGGAAGACCCAGCUGCAGCCAUUUGGGGAAUGAACAGGCAGAUGGACAGUCUCUCUAUGCCUUUCAAAUAAAUCUUUAAAAAAAGAAAAUCAUGCAGAGAGAGAUUUCCUACCCGUUGGUUUGCUUCCCAAAUGCCUACAAUGGUGAGGGCUGUGCCAGGCUGAAGCAGGAGACCAGGACUUGAAUGCAAGUCUCCCGUGUGGGUGACAGGGACCCCCGUACUUGAGCCAUCACCUGCUGCCGCCUGGGGUACACAGUAGCAGGCAGCUGAGGUCCUGAUUGUAUGGUUUCUAAAAACAGACUCAUGCGAUUACUGGAUUGUUUCUCUCUCACCCUUGGCCAUCAAUCUCCAGGAGAGAUUGUCCUUGAGUGUUUUGCUCACCAAGCAUGCAAUAAACAUUUUGAGCAAGUAUGAA